CAGGCUCCGACUAUCCAAGAGUCCUGAUGCAGCAGGUAGGAGUAGCCGCCCCAUCAGGUAUUUACUGUAGGCAGAUGCCUACUCUGCCUAAUGGGAAAUUAAGGAUGCAGAUUGUUUUUAAAAUAUGUACUUAUCCAUCAUGACGAUCUAUUUGCCCUGACACAAAAAAAAUAAUAAUUUAAUUCAAACAUUGAGGCCCCUAUCAAGAGCCUUGGACUUUGACAAGACUAUUU